rnacentral:rRNA from 1 species
AUUGAACGCUGGCGGCAUGCCUUACACAUGUAAGUCGAACGGCAGCACGGGGCAACCUGGUGGCGAGUGGCGAACGGGUGAGUAAUGCAUCGGAACGUACCUUUCAGUGGGGGAUAACGUAGCGAAAGUUACGCUAAUACCGCAUAUUCUGUGAGCAGGAAAGCAGGGGAUCGCAAGACCUUGCGCUGAUUGAGCGGCCGAUGUCAGAUUAGCUAGUUGGUGAGGUAAAGGCUCACCAAGGCGACGAUCUGUAGCGGGUCUGAGAGGAUGAUCCGCCACACUGGAACUGGGACACGGUCCAGACUCCUACGGGAGGCAGCAGUGGGGAAUUUUGGACAAUGGGGGCAACCCUGAUCCAGCCAUGCCGCGUGAGUGAAGAAGGCCUUCGGGUUGUAAAGCUCUUUCGGCCGGGAAGAAAUCGCACGGGCUAAUACCCUGUGUGGAUGACGGUACCGGAAUAAGAAGCACCGGCUAACUACGUGCCAGCCGCCGCCGUAAAAC